CUACGGGUGGCUCCAGUGGGGAAUAUUGGACAAUGGGCGCAAGCCUGAUCCAGCAAUGCCGCGUGUGUGAAGAAGGCCUGCGGGUUGUAAAGCACUUUCAGUAAGGAGGAAAUCUUGCAGGGUAAUAUCCUGUGAGCUUGACGUUACUUACAGAAGAAGCACCGGCUAACUCCGUGCCAGCAGCCGCGGUAAUACGGAGGGUGCGAGCGGUAAUCGGAAUUACUGGGCGUAAAGCGCGCGUAGGCGGCUGAGUAAGUCGGAUGUGAAAGCCCUGGGCUUAACCUGGGAAUUGCAUUCGAUACUGCUCAGCUAGAGUAUGGUAGAGGAUAGUGGAAUUCCUGGUGUAGCGGUGACAUGCGUAGAUAUCAGGAGGAACAUCAGUGGCGAAGGCGGCUAUCUGGACCAAUACUGACGCUGAGGUGCGAAAGCGUGGGGAGCAAACAGGAUUAGAUACCCCAGUAGUC
rnacentral:rRNA from 1 species